UCCCAACCCAGGUGUUUAGCUGCAGAACCUGGUUUGUAACUACUAAGCCAUACUACCUUCUCACAAGACAGUUCCCGGAUUUUACUCUUUCUUAGGUUCAGUCUUCAGGUAGUGUGAUCAGACUGUCUCUUAAACCCAAGCAAGAGGGACCUCUCCCCUGUGGUUCUUCUCUUGUAAUGCCCCCCCCUCCCAUGGGGUCAAGGAACCCGAACCCUCUUCUAGAGGAUGCUGCAGGGAGUCAGAAUUCUGGAAUCCUCUGCCCAAAGAGUACCAACCCUCCCCCAGGACUUGAUGGGACCUUUGAACUCAGGAGGGCAUCAGUAAAGAUGGAGAGAUGGAAAUCCAAGCAAUAGGAUGUCCGCUGAAUGGAAGUUUUGAGGAGAGAACAGAGGAGGAGUCUGAGGCCUCGAGUAGGAAUGCCAAAAACACAUCCUUUCUCUUCAACAGUCAAGAAAAGCCAAGAGACCUGAACUGGAGCUGAGAGGGUGAGACGUUGAGGAAGUUCAAGCAACAAGCAAACAUCUCUCCAUAAACAGAAAUGGCAAGGCAUCUGCUGAAAGAAGGAGGAAGGAUCUUGAUAACUCUUCUGGUCAUAUUCUAUUAAAAUUCCUGAGGGCUUUGUAUCAACACAUACAAAUAAAUAAUUACAAAAUUAACUGCUUAUCUCCCAUAUGCCAACCUUUGUGAAAAUACACACACAAACCACUGACUUAUGUGAAGAAAAGUUUCAUUACUAAUGGGAAAUUAAAUGAACUCAAUAAAACUGUCUUACGUAUGCAGUCUCUUGAGUUUUUCUU